CCCCACCCCCAUUAAAGGUGCCCAUCCCUGCAUUACAUUUAUAAAUACUGAUAGAUAGUUGACAGUGACAUUCCCAGAGUAGGAGGGACAGUUGAAAACAAACAUGCUUUUUCUUUGUAUGCUUUCCAAUCACUUCUAGCCUUGGUCCCAGUCUGUUGGAGUUCACAAGAUGAUAUAAACGGAUCUGGGAUUAGCUAAUUCACUUCCACAUUGUUACGUGUAAUCCUGAAUUACUGUCCAUUCUGAUCAGAGAAUAAAAGUACAUGACCAAUUUCUUCCCACUGGACAAAUACUGGUUGAAUCAACGUUGUUUCCACAUUUCAACCAAAUAACUCAAUGUGAUGACGUUAUCAACACAGAAAACUGAUUGGAUUUGAAAAAAGUCAUCAACGUAAAGGUCAUUUCGUUUUUUUUUUCCCCACACGACUUUUAACCUAAAUCAAAUGACAUCGUGAAAUGUUUUGUUAAUUUCACAUUGAAUUCACAUUAUUUGACAACUUGACCACAUGUAAAUCGAAACUAGACGUCUGACACCCAGUGUGCUGUUUGUUCUCCUUUUCGGUUUGUUUUCUUACAUUGUUAUUUGAACAGUAACUGUGAGGACAUUUUUAUUUGAAAAUAAAUAAAGAGAAAACAACUUGGCAUGGUAUUUCCACACCCUCACAUUAUGCAUCGCAUGUUUCAAGAGGUUGUUUUUCCUUCUUCCUGAACACAAUAUGCUGUUUAUUAUUAUGACAAGUCUCACCUAUUUUAUUUUCAUGCUGUUUCAUCUUGUCCUGUCUUUACUGUUUUCACCGGGACACUUCUGCUAGUUAAUAUAUGUCUUGGAGACUCUGUUACUAUAAACUGGGAUGGGGCCCUGGUCAAAUAUAGCGCACUAUACACCAAGUGUACAUAACAUUAAGAACACCUGCCUAAUUUUGAUUUGCCCCCCCUUUAACCCUCAGAACUGCCUCAAUUCGUUGUGGCAUGGACACUCCAAGGUAUCAAAAGCGUUCCACAGGGAUGCUGGCCCAUGUUGACUCCAAUUCUUCCCACAGUUUUUAAUCUUCUCAAACCGGUGUGACUGGCACCUACACCCAUACCGCACUUGAAUCUUUUGUCACCCUCUGAAUGGCACAGAUAAACAAUCCAUGUCUCAGUUGUCUCAAGGCUUAAAACUCCUUCUUUAAUCCGUCUUCUCCUCUUCAUCUACACUGAUUGAAGUGGAUUUAACAGGUGACAUCAAUAAGGGAUCAUAGCUUUGACCUGGAUUCACCUGGUCAGUGUAUGUGAUGGUAAGAGCUGGUCUUCCUAAUGCUUUGUACACUCAGUGUAUAUUGAAUAGUGUGUCAUUGGGGUCGCAGGUUUUUGUCUAUGAUAGAACUAUUUUUGCAAAAACUGAUGCUGUAUUCUAUAAAUAAAGCUACUCUGUAUUUUAAUUG
ensembl:lncRNA